rnacentral:rRNA from 1 species
AGCGUACACGGUGGAUGCCCUGGCAGUCAGAGGCGAUGAAGGACGUGCUAAUCUGCGAUAAGCGUCGGUAAGGUGAUAUGAACCGUUAUAACCGGCGAUUUCCGAAUGGGGAAACCCAGUGUGAUUCGUCACACUAUCAUUAACUGAAUCCAUAGGUUAAUGAGGCGAACCGGGGGAACUGAAACAUCUAAGUACCCCGAGGAAAAGAAAUCAACCGAGAUUCCCCCAGUAGCGGCGAGCGAACGGGGAGCAGCCCAGAGCCUGAAUCAGUGUGUGUGUUAGUGGAAGCGUCUGGAAAGGCGUGCGAUACAGGGUGACAGCCCCGUACACAAAAAUGCACAURCUGUGAGCUCGAUGAGUAGGGCGGGACACGUGGUAUCCUGUCUGAAUAUGGGGGGACCAUCCUCCAAGGCUAAAUACUCCUGACUGACCGAUAGUGAACCAGUACCGUGAGGGAAAGGCGAAAAGAACCCCGGCGAGGGGAGUGAAAAAGAACCUGAAACCGUGUACGUACAAGCAGUGGGAGCACGCUUAGGCGUGUGACUGCGUACCUUUUGUAUAAUGGGUCAGCGACUUAUAUUCUGUAGCAAGGUUAACCGAAUAGGGGAGCCGAAGGGAAACCGAGUCUUAACUGGGCGUUAAGUUGCAGGGUAUAGACCCGAAACCCGGUGAUCUAGCCAUGGGCAGGUUGAAGGUUGGGUAACACUAACUGGAGGACCGAACCGACUAAUGUUGAAAAAUUAGCGGAUGACUUGUGGCUGGGGGUGAAAGGCCAAUCAAACCGGGAGAUAGCUGGUUCUCCCCGAAAGCUAUUUAGGUAGCGCCUCGUGAAUUCAUCUCCGGGGGUAGAGCACUGUUUCGGCAAGGGGGUCAUCCCGACUUACCAACCCGAUGCAAACUGCGAAUACCGGAGAAUGUUAUCACGGGAGACACACGGCGGGUGCUAACGUCCGUCGUGAAGAGGGAAACAACCCAGACCGCCAGCUAAGGUCCCAAAGUCAUGGUUAAGUGGGAAACGAUGUGGGAAGGCCCAGACAGCCAGGAUGUUGGCUUAGAAGCAGCCAUCAUUUAAAGAAAGCGUAAUAGCUCACUGGUCGAGUCGGCCUGCGCGGAAGAUGUAACGGGGCUAAACCAUGCACCGAAGCUGCGGCAGCGACGCUUAUGCGUUGUUGGGUAGGGGAGCGUUCUGUAAGCCUGYGAAGGUGURCUGUGAGGYAUGCUGGAGGUAUCAGAAGUGCGAAUGCUGACAUAAGUAACGAUAAAGCGGGUGAAAAGCCCGCUCGCCGGAAGACCAAGGGUUCCUGUCCAACGUUAAUCGGGGCAGGGUGAGUCGACCCCUAAGGCGAGGCCGAAAGGCGUAGUCGAUGGGAAACAGGUUAAUAUUCCUGUACUUGGUGUUACUGCGAAGGGGGGACGGAGAAGGCUAUGUUGGCCGGGCGACGGUUGUCCCGGUUUAAGCGUGUAGGCUGGUUUUCCAGGCAAAUCCGGAAAAYYAAGGCUGAGGCGUGAUGACGAGGCACUACGGUGCUGAAGCAACAAAUGCCCUGCUUCCAGGAAAAGCCUCUAAGCAUCAGGUAACAUCAAAUCGUACCCCAAACCGACACAGGUGGUCAGGUAGAGAAUACCAAGGCGCUUGAGAGAACUCGGGUGAAGGAACUAGGCAAAAUGGUGCCGUAACUUCGGGAGAAGGCACGCUGAUAUGUAGGUGAAGUCCCUCGCGGAUGGAGCUGAAAUCAGUCGAAGAUACCAGCUGGCUGCAACUGUUUAUUAAAAACACAGCACUGUGCAAACACGAAAGUGGACGUAUACGGUGUGACGCCUGCCCGGUGCCGGAAGGUUAAUUGAUGGGGUYAGCGCAAGCGAAGCUCUUGAUCGAAGCCCCGGUAAACGGCGGCCGUAACUAUAACGGUCCUAAGGUAGCGAAAUUCCUUGUCGGGUAAGUUCCGACCUGCACGAAUGGCGUAAUGAUGGCCAGGCUGUCUCCACCCGAGACUCAGUGAAAUUGAACUCGCUGUGAAGAUGCAGUGUACCCGCGGCAAGACGGAAAGACCCCGUGAACCUUUACUAUAGCUUGACACUGAACAUUGAGCCUUGAUGUGUAGGAUAGGUGGGAGGCUUUGAAGUGUGGACGCCAGUCUGCAUGGAGCCGACCUUGAAAUACCACCCUUUAAUGUUUGAUGUUCUAACGUUGACCCGURAUCCGGGUUGCGGACAGUGUCUGGUGGGUAGUUUGACUGGGGCGGUCUCCUCCUAAAGAGUAACGGAGGAGCACGAAGGUUGGCUAAUCCUGGUCGGACAUCAGGAGGUUAGUGCAAUGGCAUAAGCCAGCUUGACUGCGAGCGUGACGGCGCGAGCAGGUGCGAAAGCAGGUCAUAGUGAUCCGGUGGUUCUGAAUGGAAGGGCCAUCGCUCAACGGAUAAAAGGUACUCCGGGGAUAACAGGCUGAUACCGCCCAAGAGUUCAUAUCGACGGCGGUGUUUGGCACCUCGAUGUCGGCUCAUCACAUCCUGGGGCUGAAGUAGGUCCCAAGGGUAUGGCUGUUCGCCAUUUAAAGUGGUACGCGAGCUGGGUUUAGAACGUCGUGAGACAGUUCGGUCCCUAUCUGCCGUGGGCGCUGGAGAAYUGAGGGGGGCUGCUCCUAGUACGAGAGGACCGGAGUGGACGCAUCACUGGUGUUCGGGUUGUCAUGCCAAUGGCACUGCCCGGUAGCUAAAUGCGGAAGAGAUAAGUGCUGAAAGCAUCUAAGCACGAAACUUGCCCCGAGAUGAGUUCUCCCUGACUCCUUGA